rnacentral:rRNA from 1 species
UUAACGGCCGCGGCACUAAAACCGUGCAAAGGUAGCACAAUCACUUGUCCCUUAAAUGAGGACCCGUAUGAAAGGCAACAUGAGAGAAGACCUGUCUCCUAAGGCCAGCCAAUGAAAUUGAACUGCCAGUACAAAAGCUGGUAUUUACAAGCAAGACAAAAAGACCCUAUGGAACUUUAACAAAUUAUUUAUAUAACAUAAAUUAUAGUUUCAGUUGGGACAACUUUAGAGAAAAUUAACCUCUUAAUAAUACACAGACCAACAAGUCUAACCUCCCGACCCAGUCACACUGAUUAACGAAACAAGCUACCCUAGGGAUAACAGCGCCACCUUCUCAAAGAGUCCAUAUCAACAAGAAGAUCUACGACCUCGAUGUUGGAUCAGGGUACCCUGACGGUGCAGCAGCUGCUAACGGUUCGUUUGUUCAACGAUUAAU